ACAGCGUGGGUUAGCUCUGUGUCAGCUCAGAAUAAGUACAAUGCUAUUUUUAUUUAGCCUGUGCUCAGUGUCAAUUGAACAGUUGUGAGUAAAUGUUUUGUGUUGGAAGAGACUUGUGCUAACGCUACGUUUAUAUUUAUAACACAGUUAUUAUGUUGCUACGGUGACUACGACUUUGGUCUAAGAGGCCGACUGUGGCGAUUGGAUUACACUUCAAACAACUUUUUUGUUCGUAUACGAUUACAGCUGAUGAAAUGGCGCUGAUACGAUUCUGCUGUUGCUGCUUUAGCUUAAGAUCUUUGAUGUUGUUGUUGGGUUGGUCACAAGCAUUCUGUACGUAUUUCUGGGAGGCAGUGUCAUUCAAACCAUCGCUGCUGCAUUCCUGCUGUAUGGAGUUUAUAGGAGAAAGAGUCUCUACGUACUGGAGUAUGUGAAGCUGGAAACUGUGAUCCACAUCGCGUCUCUUAUUGAGUUGUUCCUCGUCUUCAUUUUGGAGCACUCCAUAAUAUCAAGUGUAGACACCUUCACCUUCGUGGGGUUUCUCGCUCUGAAUUACGGUCUAGCGGCAUACUACCUCCUGGCAGCAUACAGCUACUAUAGAAUCAUUACUGAAGAAGACGUCUACACACCGUUAAUACAGACGUGAUCUCUGUGAAACCAUUAUCAAGAGACAUGUUGCGUUCCUUGUGAUAGGUUAUUAGUAUUUCGAACUAUUACAGUGUACUGAUCUACCCUAGUUAUACGUAAUUAUAUUACAGUGGAUUUACCACAAUCAAUACCGGUAGGGAGUGUGAUAUGUGAGUGUCCAGAUUUGUGAGAACUUCAUUAGAGUGUUACUUUUUUGUGAUAUUUAUGAAAAAUGAUAACUUAAUUGUUUAUUUUAAUAGUAUUUUAUAAUACUGUACAUGACUACUACUUUAUCUCACAAUAAUACGCAAAGGAAUAUAUGAUUGAAUGUAAUUUAAUUUUAUCCAUUAAAAUAUAUUUUUGUAUAAGAAUUGUAUAUUUA